CUGCCUGGAAGAUAGAACUGUCCAGGAGGUAUUUUGUACCCUUUAUUCAGUAAAGCUUUUACUAGAUUUUAAGCGACCAAAUAGCUUGCAAAUGCAAAACAUCAUUCAAUUUCGUAUGAUUUUUUUUCCUGAAGGUAGACCGUGUUCAGAAUUCUGAGUGCCUUCUUUGGAUCUUUUGUAGAAGCUCAGAUGAAAGUGGCUCCAGACCAUUGACACAAACUUGGUUAUCAGGAAGUCUGAUCUAAAAUCCUGUGGAUUCCAGGAAGAUGGAGGCAUUGCCACCCUUUGGUCUUACUACAUUCCUACCUCUCAUGAUGCUUUUGUGACCCUGCUCUAUAUCCCUCACAGCCUCUUGGAAAUGCACUCCAGGGAAAAUGAAAUGUCAAGUAGGUGGUCCUGGGUCUGUGAAAAUGCCUGCAGCUUUUUCCAGUGUCUUUCCCUCUCAGAGCCUCCAAGCCUCUCCCCAAGUUAGCUCCAGAGCUUGGAAGAAACAAAAGUGCUCUUUUUUGGCUUGAGUUGCUUGAAUCCCAGGUGGAAAGCUUCUGCCUCAAAAUAAGGAGGAAAAAAAAUGUACCUGUCUAAGGCAUGAAGCAUUUCAACCAGAUAUGCAUAACUGCAGCAAAGCUGACCUGUACAUUGCAAGAAAAAGAUAUCCAUGGCAUCUGAAAUGUCUGUGUUCUUUCUCAGCAGGAAUGGCCAACUUAUGGUGAGCAGAGUAGUUCUUUUUCAGUGUAAUGACGUAAGAUCACCAGAGUUUACAGGAAGAAAAGAAUGGGAGAAAGGGUUAAGUGUUAUAGAACUAAGGGUGCCAAUGAUGACAGGAAAGGAACCAAAACAGCAAAGGAAAGAAUGCUGCAGGUAGCUGAACUCCAAUCCCCCAUGAGACUUAAAGCCAACAGGCAUGGCCCACGUGGGUGUAAUGGUCAGGACUGGCUCAGAGACCAGCCAAAUAAAACAUCAAGAUACAAAAGUAGAUCUUCCUAUUCCAGUGAAAGGGGUCUCUCUGUCAGGCAAGCGUCACACUGAUUAACCUGUACUCCCAAAUCAUGCCCUCUAACUAUGUUUUUGAGGAACAUUCAGUGUCCCUAAGGUCAAUAAAGAGUCUGUCUCCUUUAAAGCUACUACUUUUUGAUAUUUGGAGUAAAAAUAGAUUUACUAAAACUUGGCUAAAGUCAAGAAGACCUGGGAAAUUAUUGCUCUUGUUACAGCUGCUGGUAGCAUUUGAUAGUCAUUGCCAGCACUAGAAGCAGACCCAUCUUUCCCUUCACUUUGCAGACUCAGCCUGAACUCUUGAUAGUAUGCACCUGUAAGCUAUUUCAGAAAGUAUUAUCUAGUUCUUCUCUUGGGUCCAGCAACUCUGCUGGGGAUACACAAAAUGGACAAAGAAGAGUCCUCACCCUAGUGGAGAAUUUAGACAAAUAAAAAAGCAACAUUGAUACAUCUUAUGACUCUCAUGCCAUAGGGCUAUUAACUGGAUGGUUAAGGGUAUCAAGAAGGAGACCCUCACCCUGUGAGAUUGCUGGAGGCUUCCGAGAGGAUUGGCUGGGUUUGACAGGUGAAAAAUGGUAGAAAAGCCUUUAAGACAGACCUAAUAGCAGUCAUGGGAGCAGAGUACAUGGCCCAUCCAGAGGACUUUAGGCAGGUCAGAAUGGUUGGACUGCAAGGCAUGAGAGGGGGUCAGUAAGAAAGGAGAACAGAGAGAUAGAGACAAGACCAUGAGCCACUUCAAAAAGGCUGAAUGAUAUCCUCAAGUGCAAC
rnacentral:lncRNA from 10 species